rnacentral:tRNA from 1 species
GGGGUUGUGGCUCAGCGGUAGAGCACUCGCCUCGCAUGCAUGGGACUCUGUGUUCAAUCCUCAGCACCA